rnacentral:tRNA from 1 species
GGCCACGUAGCUCAAUUGGAUAGAGUACUUGAUUACGGCUCAAGAGGUUGGGGGUUCGACUCCUCCCGUGGUCA